UACGUAGGCAGCAAGCGUUGUUCGGAGUUACUGGGCGUAAAGGGUGCGUAGGCGGUCCUAUAAGUAUGGUGUGAAAUCUCCCGGCUUAACUGGGAGGGUGCGCUAUAGACUGUGGGACUAGAGUGUGGGAGAGGAAAGUGGAAUUCCUGGUGUAGCGGUGAAAUGCGUAGAUAUCAGGAGGAACACCGGUGGUGUAAACGGCUUUCUGGACCAUAACCGACGCUGAGGCACGAAAGCGUGGGUAGCAAACAGG
rnacentral:rRNA from 1 species